AGGUGUCUUGGCUAAGGUGUCUUGGCUAAUGUGUCUUGGCUAAGGUGUCUUGGCUAAGGUGUCUUGGCUAAGGUGUCUUGGCUAAUGUGUCUUUUCUUAGGUGUCUUGGCUAAGGUGUCUUGGCUAAGGUGUCUUGGCUAAGGUGUCUUGGCUAAUGUGUCUCGGCUAAUGUGUCUUGGCUAAUGUGUCUUGGCUAAUGUGUCUUGGCUAAUGUGUCUCGGCUAAGGUGUCUUGGCUAAGGUGUCUUGGCUAAGGUGUCUUGGCUAAUGUGUCUCGGCUAAGGUGUCUUGGCUAAUGUGUCUUGGCUAAGGUGUCUUGGCUAAGGUGUCUUGGCUAAGGUGUCUUGGCUAAGGUGUCUUGGCUAAUGUGUCUUGGCUAAGGUGUCUUGGCUAAGGUGUCUUGGCUAAUGUGUCUAAGCUAAUGUGUCUUGGCUAAUGUGUCUUGGCUAAUGUGUCUUGGCUAAUGUGUCUUGGCUAAUGUGUCUCGGCUAAGGUGUCUUGGCUAAGGUGUCUUGGCUAAGGUGUCUUGGCUAAUGUGUCUCGGCUAAGGUGUCUUGGCUAAUGUGUCUUGGCUAAGGUGUCUUGGCUAAGGUGUCUUGGCUAAGGUGUCUUGGCUAAUGUGUCUUGGCUAAGGUGUCUUGGCUAAUGUGUCUUGGCUAAUGUGUCUUGGCUAAUGUGUCUCGGCUAAGGUGUCUUGGCUAAGGUGUCUUGGCUAAGGUGUCUUGGCUAAUGUGUCUUGGCUAAGGUGUCUUGGCUAAUGUGUCUUGGCUAAGGUGUCUUGGCUAAGGUGUCUUGGCUAAUGUGUCUCGGCUAAGGUGUCUUGGCUAAUGUGUCUUGGCUAAGGUGUCUUGGCUAAGGUGUCUUGGCUAAGGUGUCUUGGCUAAUGUGUCUUGGCUAAGGUGUCUUGGCUAAUGUGUCUUGGCUAAUGUGUCUUGGCUAAUGUGUCUCGGCUAAGGUGUCUUGGCUAAGGUGUCUUGGCUAAGGUGUCUUGGCUAAUGUGUCUCGGCUAAGGUGUCUUGGCUAAUGUGUCUUGGCUAAGGUGUCUUGGCUAAGGUGUCUUGGCUAAGGUGUCUUGGCUAAGGUGUCUUGGCUAAGGUGUCUUGGCUAAGGUGUCUUAGCUAAGGUGUCUUGGCUAAGGUGUCUUGGCUAAGGUGUCUAAGCUAAUGUGUCUUGGCUAAUGUGUCUUGGCUAAUGUGUCUUGGCUAAUGUGUCUUGGCUAAUGUGUCUCGGCUAAGGUGUCUUGGCUAAGGUGUCUUGGCUAAGGUGUCUUGGCUAAUGUGUCUCGGCUAAGGUGUCUUGGCUAAUGUGUCUUGGCUAAGGUGUCUUGGCUAAGGUGUCUUGGCUAAGGUGUCUUGGCUAAGGUGUCUUGGCUAAUGUGUCUUGGCUAAGGUGUCUUGGCUAAGGUGUCUUGGCUAAGGUGUCUUGGCUAAUGUGUCUCGGCUUAGGUGUCUUGGCUAAGAUGUCUUGGCUAAGGUGUCUUGGCUAAGGUGUCUUGGCUAAUGUGUCUUGGCUAAGGUGUCUUGGCUAAGGUGUCUUGGCUAAGAUGUCUUGGCUAAGGUGUCUUGGCUAAUGUGUCUUGGCUAAGGUGUCUUGGCUAAGGUGUCUUGGCUAAGGUGUCUUGGCUAAGGUGUCUUGGCUAAGGUGUCUUGGCUAAGGUGUCUUGACUAAGGUGUCUUGGCUAAUGUGUC